rnacentral:rRNA from 1 species
UGGGGAAUAUUGCACAAUGGACGAAAGUCUGAUGCAGCAACGCCGCGUGGAGGAUGACACAUUUCGGUGCGUAAACUCCUUUUAUAUAGGAAGAUAAUGACGGUACUAUAUGAAUAAGCACCGGCUAACUCCGUGCCAGCAGCCGCGGUAAUACGGAGGGUGCAAGCGUUACUCGGAAGCACUGGGCGUAAAGAGCGUGGAGGCGGGUAUAUAAGUCAGAAGUGAAAUCCAAUAGCUUAACUAUUGAACUGCUUUUGAAACUGUAUACCUAGAAUGUGGGAGAGGUAGAUGGAAUUUCUGGUGUAGGGGUAAAAUCCGUAGAGAUCAGAAGGAAUACCGAUUGCGAAGGCGAUCUACUGGAACAUUAUUGACGCUGAGACGCGAAAGCGUGGGGAGCAAACA